CCUACGGGUGGCUGCAGUGAGGAAUAUUGGUCAAUGGACGCAAGUCUGAACCAGCCAUGCCGCGUGCAGGAUGACGGCUCUAUGAGUUGUAAACUGCUUUUGUACGAGGGUAAACCCCGAUACGUGUAUCGUGUUGCAAGUAUCGUACGAAUAAGGAUCGGCUACUCCGGACCAGCAGCCGCGGUAAUACGGAGGAUCCGGGCGUUUUCCGGAUUUAUUGGGUUUAACGGGUGCGUCAGCGGUUUGAUAAGUUAGAGGUGAAAUGUCGGGGGUCAACCCCGAAACUGCCUCUAAUACUGUUGGACUAGAGAAUAGUUGCGGUAGGCGGAAUGCAUGGUGUAGCGGUGAAAUGCUUAGAGAUCAUACAGAACACCGAUUGCGAAGGCAGCUUACCAAACUAUAUCUGACGUUGAGGCACGAAAGCGUGGGUAGCAAACAGGAUUAGAUACCCGGGUAGUC
rnacentral:rRNA from 1 species